ACAACAUUAAGAACAAGCAAUGAACUAGAAUACAAGGGGGGCAAUAUUAAUUUAUUAAGCAUUAAUUAAGCAACUAGUAAAUGUCAAGCACUGUGCUAAGCACUUCUCAGUUAUCUCACAUGAUCCACAACAACAAAACAACCAAAACUGAGGCAAAGGAGACCCAUCACCUUAUUCACCAUACAUGCAAACUUUGCAGAGAAGAUCUUUGUACUUCAGUUAUUAUGGACCACACAGCCCUAUAAGAGAUACUGAAGUGCCAAAUGUUUAUCUACACAUUAGUUUCUGGAAGAUGCAAAAAAAAAUUAUCUUAUUGUCCUAACACAUCAUUGCUCCUGAACGACCAAAAGGAGAGUGACAUCACCAGGAAAGAACAGUGUUGUGGAGAAAGGAGAGGAAGCCCAGAGAUCAUGAUAAAGAGCACAGGAUCUAAAAGAUGAGUGUGAUCAGAUAUAUUAGGGAACAGUUCUGAAGAUCAUACUUCUGGAAUGGACAUCAGUCAUCUCGUAAAGAGCCAAAGCAAGUGCUUGUGUAUGCACAUAUGUCUUCUAAAGGGUCUAAGGUUACCCAGAAACAUUUCCUUACCCUUUUUUUGGCGCUUCUCAAGGGAAUGCGUUUUUCAUACAUCAUCCUCCUUUUUCCUGCAACAUAGAGAUCUUGGAAUUUACCAAUACAUUAAAUCCAAUCUCCAACUUGCCUGAAAGGGCUUGUAGUCUCCUUAAGGCUUUAAGUUGUGUACGUGUGUACGGGUGUGUGUGUGUGUUUUAAAUCAGGUUUAUGAUAUGCAGUAUACCUUAA